GCGCGGGGCAGGUCGCAGGAAAGCGCUGCGGUGUCCGCAGAGCAGCCAUCUGGCCGGCGGUUUCUGACCUGGUCCUGCACUUUCCCAGCUCUUCCUGGGCAGCCCCAGGCCUACCCUAGGGACUGGACGUGUGUGUCACGCCUGGGGUGGCAGCCAGGGAUCUGCUCAGCACCCUGCGUGCCAGGACCCACUGGACAAUGGCCUGGCCCCAGCGUCCACAGCUUCCAGGGGGAGACCGUGGCCUAGCACCAGGAGCAGGCGCUACGGUGACCCGAAGGCACCUGUCCUGGUGCGUCACCUGGAGCUGCCACACCCUCUGAUCCCAGCCCACGGGGCUACCAGCUCGAGGUCACGGAGGGGCUGGUGCAGAUCGAGGGCACCAGGCGGGCAUCUGAAGUCAGUGCCCGGGGCUCUGGGGACAGGGACAAGACAAGACCUAGAAACCUCCCCAGCCCACAGGCGGGUCAGCACCCCCGGCUCCGCCCACACCCAGAGCCUGGGGAUCCCACGCGCGCAGCGUCUCCAGGGUCGGCGCAGUCCAGGGGCAGGGUGUGGGGACGGUGGCCUGGUGGGGGCCGGUGGCCGUGGGUUUGGAUUCCAGGGAAACUGGAGAACAGUCCUGUGACUCCCGCCAGCGAGGUCCCUGAGUCGGCUCAAUCUGUCCUGGCGGCCAGAGGAGGGGGGGUGAGGGGCCCGCCAGGGUGAGAGGCAGCCCCCGCCCAGGAGCGAGUGGCCUGACGGUCAGUGCGGUCUGCGAUGACAGGGUGACAGGGUGACGGGGCAGCUGGAGCGCGUGACCGGAGCUGGAGAACAGGCUGCCGUCUGUCCACCAGGGCGGCCAGCAGGGGUGGCCUUUGCUCCCCGUUGGCUCGGUGGCGUUGAAGGAUGACCGUGGUCAUGUGAGAGUGUGUCAGCCCAGGCACGGGGCCGGGCCAGGAUGCGGAGCCCCACGGCGCGUGUCACUCCUGUUGGGAGCUUCCCAGCACCGAGCAAGGGCUGUCACCUGGGCCCUGUGCCAGGGCAAGGGCCAGCGCGGCCUCGUCAACGCCGACUCGGGGCUGUGCCAGGCCUCCCGCCUCGGCCAGGGCAGGUUGUCCUCCUCGAGGGCCCGCGGACUCCUGCAGGCCGGGCCCUCGGGGAGCUCCCGAUCACAAGCACCCAGGAGAGGUCGCCAAGGCCCUUCCUGUGGCCCCUCGUGGCUCGGGGUCCUCCUGACACUGCGGCACGGCGCCAGGUCACCAAAGCAGGUGACAGGACCCCGCCCAUCUACCCUCUCGCGGUUCUGGGGGGGCCAGACCCAGGUGUGGCACCUGGCCUCCCGAGGCCCAGGGACAGUCCCGUCCCCCUCCUCCAGCUCCAGGGCCAGCAGCCCAGCGUCGUCCAGCCCCCUGACCCUGACCCUGCCGCCUCCUCUCAGGAGGACCCUGUGGUGACCCUGGGUGACCCCUGCUCAGGGCCUCCCCUGAUCCCACCUCAGAGCCCUCUGCCCUGGGAGGUGCCACGCCACAGGGACGAGGAUCUGGGUGCCCGGGGGCUGUUCUUCUGCUGACCCCAAGAACAUUCCAGAAGCUGGUACCAAAGUGGCUGCCAGCCACCUGCGCCUGCUGUGGCUGCCAUCUUCAGUGUCAAGGCCAAGGCCCGAGGGACGCCGGGUGCCCACCAGGCGCUGAGACGAGGGUGUCAGGGCCCCUGGGCAGACCGGCCUUGUCUGGCUGAAGCUGGACCCUGACACAGGGAAGGCCAGAGGACAGCGUCCAGCCAGGGUGCAACUGCCAACCGGGCGGCGGGCAGCGGGCGGCGGGCAGCGGGCAGGGUGCGUCAGGGCCUCCCUCCUGGAGGCCAGGGUGGGAGGUCACAGUGGCUCGGCGGUGCUGGAAAUCGGCCGUGCGGGUGGAACCUCCUGAGGAGCCCCGGCCACUGCACCCUGCCCCGCUGACUAGUGUGGGGGGACUCAGGCCACUGGCCAGGGUCAGCCAGCGGCUAGGGCAGGGACACGCGGGGCCCGCAGUGGACCUGGGCAGACUGGGAGGGGAUGAGGUUGUGAUGGCCAUGGACUUCUGGGUGUGACCAGGGCAGUUUGCACCUCCUUCUCUUGCUGCCCGGUCCCAGGACGCAGCCUCUCCUGAAUGAGAUGCAACCCAGGCUGGACGCGCAGAGGCUCCGGCUCCUGGGGAGAGGACGGGCUGCCUGUGGGUCUCCCUGGGGGCUGGGCCUCUGCAGGGAGGCUGGGCGCCCUGAGGUUGGUGGCCGAGCGAGGCCAGCGGCCCAGCCUUCGUCCCCUCUUGCUGCUCGCUGGAGUAAGUGGCCCGUGGAGGAGGCCGUGGUGGCCAGGACUGUGGCCCCAGCCCAUGCAGCCUCGCAGCAGGUGGCUUUUGCACAGUAGAGCUCCUGCUCACCCCCGGGGAGGCUGGACGUGAGGCCACCCGGUGUCUGCAACCGCCUGCGGCCCUUCGCAGGAAGGGGACAGGUGUCGCUAAGGCCACGCUGGUCCCAGCCUCUUUCCUGACCAGGAGGGGCCAGGGUGAUGCUGUCGCGGCACCUGUCGGGGCUCAGCAGCACUCACGCACCCGCUUUGGUUUAUUCCACGGAGUACCCCGUCCUCUGGGCUUGUCCGGGGGGAGCACGGUGGUGUCCCUCCUCUUUGAGGCUGCAUACUAUUCCAGGCCCUGGAUGUGCCACUUCCGUGUGUCUGUCCACUGUUGGCGGACACCAGGGCUGCUCCAAUCUGGUUUUUGUUCUCGGCGGGGGCCAGUGUUCUCCACUGAGCCACACCCCAGCCCUCUUCAUUUUUUUUUGUUUUUUAUGUUUUUUCCCUCUGGGUAGCUGUAGAUGGCCGCAGGCCUGUGUUCCACUUGUUCGUUUUUAGGUGGUGCUGGGGUCGAACCCAGGGCCUCACGGGCCAGGCAAGCGCUCUGCCACGGAGCCCCAGCCCCGGCCCAUGGUUUUCAUUUUGAGACAGGGUCUCACUAAGCCGCCCGAGGCCGGCCUGGAACUUGCGACCCCCCGCCCCCCGCCUGGUCUCUGGCAGCUGGAGAGCUGCUGUGCAGGACCAGCUACAACUAGCUCUUCCCUUUCAAGCCCCGCCCCUCGGCCCCCCAGCAGAGUGGUGCUGAGGGCUCCGGGGGCCUGCCCCGGGGCAGGUAGCUGGGGCAACCCGAGGGUGUCAGACCAGGCGCUCUGGCAGGAGGGCGCGUCUCUCCCACUGACCGGUUCAGCUGUAACCAGGCCCAGCGGGCUGCUCCGGGCUCCUGGGAGAACAGACUGCUGCCCAGCAGAGGGCCAGGUGGGUGGGCUCCAGGCCCAGGUGCUGAGCAGGGACAGGAGGCGCCUGCAGUGCCCUGUGCGCCCAGGGGGCUGUGGUGGGGAAGGGCGGGGCAGCUGGCCUGGUGGGCAUGUGGGAGCUGGCCCGGGGCGUCACCGUGUCCACAGGGAAUGCCCGAUGUCGCUGCAAGGGACCUCAACCUCACCCUCUGGCAAGAGCUGCCAGGUAGCCGCCUCAUCCCCCUGCACGUGGCCACGUGGCCUGCGGCUCAGGCAGCACGUGGAUGACACCCGACCCCUGGCCGCAGCCCAGGCCCCGACCGUCCACCCUCGGGCAGCUGAGCUCCGGCCUUCCCAGCAGGAGAAUGGGGGGGCCAGUCUUCGCCUGAAGGCAAAAGGAGCCACACAGGUGUCCAGCACGUGGCCCCCCCGCCCUCAGCCUCACUUAAGCCACUUCUUCGUCACUGACACUGUCACCGACAGGCGUGGGGGCUGGGCUAGGACACGGUCCUGCGUCAGGCACUUGGCUUGGGAGCAAAUCUCAGGGACAGCAGAAAGCUCGGACCUUGAAGAGGCCUGCUGUCACGCAGUGUCUCAAAACCCCGAGAUUAAAGCAGAAUAACACCCGGGAGGAAGCGCCAGCCGGGAUCCAAGGGCACCUGACGGGCGGGCAGCGCGGGGCGGGCAGCGCGGGGCGGGCAGCGCGCGGUGGUGCCCUUCCAGCUCCCCACACCCAUGUAGAACCCCAGUCUCACUGUGAUUUAGGGGGCACUGAUUCUUUAAAUAUCCGUGUGUGUGUUUUAGCUGUGGCGGACACAGUACACGGUCCAUUUCUAGGUGGUGCUGAGAUGGACCUCAGGGCACACGCAUGCCAGGGGACGCUCUACCCCUGAGCCCCCCCGCAGCCCCAGGGGCGUUGGUUUUGACUUUUAAGAGAUACUGUGCCAUGGGCUGGGGUGAGGCUCCGUGCCGAGCAGCAGCCCAGCGUGCACGAGGCCCUGGCUCCGGUCUGGCACGCGCACACGCACACGCGCACACUACAGCGUGACCUGCGGGAUUUCCUUUAGCCCUCCGCUGCUGGGACUGAGCGGGGGCCUUGCGCGUGCCACACAGAUGCCCUGUCGCCGAGCCACUCCCAGGCCUCAUCCGACCCACUGGUCCCACUUAAGAGCUGCACCAAGCAGAGACCCCGCCCCUCAGGGGCCCAGGAGGCCCUAGCGCAGGCUGGAGCCAGCGGCCAGUGAGCUUCUGACCCACUGCUGCCGAGACGGACGACGUGCAGCGGCUGCUUGAGGGCCUCUGGGGGACCCUCAUUAGGGAGUGGGCAGGCUCCGCUGGACAGCAGGACGGGAGCCGUGGACGGGACCACAGCUGGCCUGGUCCCACCCAGACACAGUGGCCGGGUCUUGGGGGCAGGAGCUGGGCCUAGCCUCACCCCCAGCGGGGACAUCACAGGGUGCCUCUCGGGGGCGUUUUAAGGAUCCAGGAGACACAAGGGCCUGGACAGGGAGGCUCACGGGGAGCCCGGCCAGGGGUGGACAGCCCGGCCAUGCUCGAGAGCACAGAGCAGGGGUGGGCUACUCUUGGGCCAAGAUGGCCGGCCCGUCUCCAUGAGCAGCAGGAUGGGAGGUGGCACUUUCUACCUGCGGUGGGCCCCGAGCCAGGGCUUGGGGUGUUCUGACCUAAACCAUGUCCCCCAAAAGGUGGUUCCUGGGUGGUGGCCCCAGGAAGCUAACGAGGGCCCCCGGCUGCAGCCCCAGCCAGAAGCCUCAGCCGUGGCCUGUUGGCCCGGUGCCCGCGGCCCUCAGAUGGCAUACGGACGAGGUGAAGCCCCCGAGCCCCGGGAACCGCUCCAGGCUCCCCUUCCUUCCCCCGUGGCCCGCGGGGUACCAGGAGCUGAGGCCAUCGCAGCCAGCUGGGAGCCAGGAGAGUGCCACCAGACACUCGCUCACGCAGCGGCAGCGAACGGGCUCCGUCGGGGAGUCCGGGACAGAACAGGUGACAGAACCACCCGAGCUUCAGCCAGGCUGAGGAGGGAGAGCCAGGGACGGAGGCGGACGCUCAAGUCAGGUGAUAAUCAGGAGCGGGGGAGCCUGCCAGGUCCGGGCCCCAAACUGUGCGCCUGAAGCGCAAGGGACACAGUCCUGGAAUCACAGCACCCGGUUCACACGGACCCACCCGAGGCCAGCCCCAGCCCCACAGGAGGACAAGGACAUGCCCCCUGUGGCCUCGGCUCCCGGGGAGCAGGCAGGACCGCCCACGGCGCAGAGCAGGUGCAUGGUCUCUGGCCCCGAAUCCAAGGCUGCCCCCAGGUGUCUCCCCGUGUCCCUGGUCCACAGAGGCCUCAAGGCUGGUGACCAGGAGCUGGGGUGUGUCCAGGGUCAGCACCUGCCCAGCGUUCCUGAGGCCCUGG
rnacentral:lncRNA from 1 species